ACACGUAGGGGCCUGACGUUGUUCGGAAUCAUUGGGCGUAAAGGGCGCGCAGGCGGCCGUCCAAGUCCGGUGUUAAAUGGUCGGGCUCAACCCGAUCAUGCGCUGGAAACUGGGCGGCUGGAGUCCCGGAGGGGAUGCCGGAAUUCCAGGUGUAGGGGUGAAAUCUGUAGAUAUCUGGAAGAACACCGAUGGCGAAGGCAGGCAUCUGGCCGGAGACUGACGCUGAGGCGCGAAGGCGCGGGGAGCGAACAGGUUUAGAUACCCUGGUAGUCCGCGCAGUAAACGAUGCGCACCAGGUGUCGGGCGGCAGCGCCCGGUACCGGAGCAAACGCGAUGAGUGCGCCGCCUGGGGAGUAUGCCCGCAAGGGUGAAACUCAAAGGAAUUGGCGGGG
rnacentral:rRNA from 1 species